GUCACUGCAAAAACACAAACAUUCCAAAAUACCUUAGGUUGAUGGAAGUGCAGAAAAGUUGAAAAGAAAAAUCUGGAAGUGCAUCAAAUUUGCAAGUGCACCAGCAAGUGCACCAGCAAGUGCACCAGCAAGUGCACCAGCAAGUGCACCAGCAAGUGCACCAGCAAGUGCACCAGCAAGUUCACCAGCAGGCACAAGGUCACAAGUAUAAGGGAGGGAAAAUUCCAAGAGCAGAAAUAUCCCCAAAGUAACGUGAUUGAGCACUGAGCAGGAGAGGAGUUUAGCAGGCUAGCCAAGACCUACAUGUUUGUCUGCACUGCAGUUCUGAAGAUGUGCUGACUGCCUCUCUACCCAACCUGCAUUGUGCAAUGUUUGCUCCACUGCCAUGACUGCAUAAUGUGUAAGCAUGCCCUAUCGUGGAGGAAUCCUUGAUCCUCCAUAUGCGCAGGUAACGAUUUGUCACGCGCGAACAUUUACCAACCCAAAUUACAGGUGAGUGCAUAGAAAUAGGACAUUUAGAAUCCCAUCGUUUUGAAGGGUCUGACAGAUAUCGUCUAUAGGAAGUGUAUAUUUAGCCAGCGCUGGCUAAAUUUAAGUAAAUGUUAUUUUACCAAGUAGGUUGUACAAUGCCCUCUACAUUACAACAGGUAUUCAUAGCCACCAUGGGAUUCGCAAGACCUAGGGCCUAGUGGACAGAGCGUGGAUAAACUCAUGGGGGGGGGGGGGAAGAAUAGGGUUCCAUUCCAAUAUCUAAAUCCCAAAAAAUAAACUGCGCAUGUUCAGUGCUCAGCCACUCGCGAAAAUACUAAAUUUAGGUGGCGCCGGCUAAAUAUUAACACUGUGCAGGCUUACACAAAUUACAAUUCAUCAUUACAAUUUACAGAUUUAGUAUUCCUUGCUAAUUCUAGCCCCAUAAAUGUGGCCAUUAACUGGACUACCUCCGCCGUUCGAAGGCAGGCUGACAUGGCUGAGGCAUGGUAAGUAACUCCAGCUAACUGUAACAUUGUUGGG